rnacentral:rRNA from 1 species
UUGUUAAAGGGCGCGGUAUCUGGACCGUGCUAAGGUAGCAUAAAAAAAGUCUCUUAAUUGGAGACUGGGAUGAAUGGUCGGAUGGAAUAUAAUUUGUCUGCAGAUAUAAUUUUGAAUUUUACUUUUGAGUGAAAAGGCUUAAAUGGAGUAAAGGGACGAUAAGACCCUGUGAAGCUUUAUUUUUAUUAUGGGCUAAUAUUUAAUUAUUGUGUGUUUAAGUUUGAGUGUAAUAAGAAUUAGGUUGGGGCGACUAAGAUAUUUUAUUAACUGUUUUUAUGAUUAAGAUAAGGGGGCUUAGGUAGUUGAUCCUGUUUUACAGAUCAUAAGAUUUAAGUUACUCCAGGGAUAACAGCGUAAUUCUUUUUGAGAGUUCUUAUCGACAAAAGUAUUUGCGACCUCGAUGUUGAAUUAAGAUUUCGCUAGGGUGUAGAAGCCUUGAUUGUGGGUCUGUUC